GUGGAUGCCUUGGCAGUUAGAGGCGAUGAAGGACGUGUAAGUCUGCGAAAAGCUGUGGUGAGCCGACAAAAUGCAUUUGAGCCACAGAUGUCCGAAUGGGGAAACCCACCUAUUUAUAGGUAUCGUUACAUGAAUAUAUAGUGUAACGAGGCGAACGAGGGGAACUGAAACAUCUAAGUACCCUUAGGAAAAGAAAUCAAACGAGAUUCCCCUAGUAGCGGCGAGCGAACGGGGAUUAGCCCUUAAGCAAUUAUGAACGUAGUGGAAGCCUCUGGGAAGUGGCGCGAUACAAGGUGAUAGCCCUGUACACGAAGUGUUUGUUUUUGUGAAAUCGAGUAGGUCGGGACACGUGUUAUCUUGACUGAAUAUGGGGGGACCAUCCUCCAAGGCUAAAUACUCCUAACUGACCGAUAGUGAACCAGUACCGUGAGGGAAAGGCGAAAAGAACCCCUGUGAGGGGAGUGAAAUAGAACCUGAAACCGUAUACGUACAAGCAGUGGGAGCCCUUCGGGGUGACUGCGUACCUUUUGUAUAAUGGGUCAGCGACUUAUAUUUAGUAGCAAGGUUAAGCGAAUAGCGGAGCCGUAGCGAAAGCGAGUGUUAACUGCGCGUUGAGUUGCUAGGUAUAGACCCGAAACCCGGUGAUCUAGCCAUGAGCAGGUUGAAGGUUGAGUAACAUCAACUGGAGGACCGAACCCACUAACUUUGAAAAGUUAGGGGAUGACUUGUGGCUGGGGGUGAAAGGCCAAUCAAACCGGGAGAUAGCUGGUUCUCCCCGAAAUCUAUUUAGGUAGAGCCUCGGACGAAUUCCAUUGGGGGUAGAGCACUGUUAAGGCUAGGGGGUCAUCCCGACUUACCAACCCUUUGCAAACUCCGAAUACCAAUGAGAACUAUCCGGGAGACACACGGCGGGUGCUAACGUCCGUCGUGGAGAGGGAAACAACCCAGACCGCCAGCUAAGGUCCCAAAAUAUUGCUAAGUGGGAAACGAUGUGGGAAGGCACAGACAGCUAGGAGGUUGGCUUAGAAGCAGCCACCCUUUAAAGAAAGCGUAAUAGCUCACUAGUCGAGUCGGCCUGCGCGGAAGAUGUAACGGGGCUAAGCAAUAUACCGAAGCUGCGGCAGCACAGUUUACUGUGCUGGGUAGGGGAGCGUUGUGUAAGUGGAUGAAGGUGAGUUGUAAAGCUUGCUGGACAUAUCACAAGUGCGAAUGCUGACAUGAGUAACGAUAAUGGGAGUGAAAAACUCCCACGCCGGAAGACCAAGGUUUCCUGUCCCAUGCUAAUCAGGGCAGGGUAAGUCGGCCCCUAAGGCGAGGCAGAAAUGCGUAGUCGAUGGGAAACGGAUUAAUAUUUCCGUACUUAUAUAAUCAGUGAUGGAGGGACGGAGAAGGCUAGGCAAGCUUGGCGUUGGUUGUCCAAGUGAAAGCAAGUAGGCCGAGAAUUUAGGUAAAUCCGGAUUCUUAAAGCUGAGAUGCGAGACGAGCUACUACGGUAGUGAAGUUGUUGAUGCCCUGCUUCCAGGAAAAGCUUCUAAACUUAUGAUUAUAUGAACCGUACCCCAAACCGACACAGGUGGUCAGGUAGAGAAUACUAAGGCGCUUGAGAGAACUCGGGUGAAGGAACUCGGCAAAAUUGUACCGUAACUUCGGGAGAAGGUACGCCCUUGUUUGUGAUAGGACUUGCUCCUUGAGCAGAUGAGGGCCGCAGUGACCAGGUGG
rnacentral:rRNA from 1 species